ACCCUGCAUGCCAGCAAUACAACUUCCAUAGUCAGAAGUUGGGAAACUGGUUAUUAUUCUCACCAGAGAAACUGGUUAUUAUUCAGUCCAGUCUGCAGACACAGCUGACCUCCAAGUGCAUGUGCAGUUAGACCUUGGUAGGCACAAGCAAAAUCGGAAGUUGGAAUUUUUGUAUUGAAUAUAAUUUUAAACAUUAAAAAAUCAAGCACAGAUAAAUGUCCAACUGAGCCGGUGCCAACAGAGGACUGCUGCUUUAGAGGUGGAAAUCAACACACAUUUCUAUCUACUGAGGUUAAAACACAAUUGUCAUUUUGCAAGCAAGCUUUUAGGCAUAUGUAGAAUUCUGUGUCAUUUGUGUUGUUUUGAAUAAAUGUAGUGUCUAACUAUUGAGUACAAUUUAAAA